rnacentral:rRNA from 1 species
UACGUAGGGGGCAAGCGUUGUCCGGAAUUAUUGGGCGUAAAGAGCUCGUAGGUGGUUUGUCGCGUUGUUCGUGAAAACUCACAGCUCAACUGUGGGCGUGCGGGCGAUACGGGCAGACUAGAGUACUGCAGGGGAGACUGGAAUUCCUGGUGUAGCGGUGGAAUGCGCAGAUAUCAGGAGGAACACCGGUGGCGAAGGCGGGUCUCUGGGCAGUAACUGACGCUGAGGAGCGAAAGCGUGGGGAGCGAACAGG